UAAUACGUAGGGUGCGAGCGUUGUCCGGAAUUAUUGGGCGUAAAGGGCUCGUAGGCGGUUUGUCGCGUCGGGAGUGAAAACAUCCAGCUUAACUGGGUGCUUGCUUUCGAUACGGGCAGACUUGAGGUAUGCAGGGGAGAAUGGAAUUCCUGGUGUAGCGGUGAAAUGCGCAGAUAUCAGGAGGAACACCGGUGGCGAAGGCGGUUCUCUGGGCAUUACCUGACGCUGAGGAGCGAAAGUGUGGGGAGCGAACA
rnacentral:rRNA from 1 species